UACAGAGGGUGCUAGCGUUAAUCGGAAUUACUGGGCGUAAAGCGCAUGUAGGUGGGUAUUUAAGUCGGAUGUGAAAGCCCCGGGCUCAACCUGGGAAUCGCAUUCGAUACUGAAUAUCUAGAGUAUGGUAGAGGGAAGUGGAAUUUCCGGUGUAGCGGUGAAAUGCGUAGAUAUCGGAAGGAACAUCAGUGGCGAAGGCGGCUUCCUGGAUUAAUACUGACACUAAAGUGCGAAAGCGUGGGGAGCAAACAGG
rnacentral:rRNA from 1 species